rnacentral:rRNA from 1 species
GUAUGGAGCAAGCGUUAUCCGGAUUUACUGGGUGUAAAGGGAGCGUAGGCGGUCCUGCAAGUCUGAUGUGAAAGGCCGGGGCUCAACCCCGGGACUGCAUUGGAAACUGUAGGACUAGAGUGUCGGAGGGGUAAGUGGAAUUCCUAGUGUAGCGGUGAAAUGCGUAGAUAUUAGGAGGAACACCAGUGGCGAAGGCGGCUUACUGGACGACUACUGACGCUGAGGCUCGAAAGCGUGGGGAGCAAACAGGAUUAGAUACCCUGGUAGUCCACACAGUAAACGAUGAAUACUCGCUGUUUGCGAUAUACAGUAAGCGGCCAAGCGAAAGCAUUAAGUAUUCCACCUGGGGAGUACGCCGGCAACGGUGAAACUCAAAGG